CACUGUCUGUGUGGUGUUUUGCAUGUUCUCCCUGUGCUUGCACAGGUUUCCUGUGGGUUCUCUGGUUGCCUCCCACUGGCCGAAACAUGCAUGUAUGCAGACUGUGCAUGUGUACAUGGUGCCCUGCUAUGGACUGCACCCCAUCUGAAGUGAAUUCUUUCAUACAGCGUUUCUGGGAUAGGCUCCGGACCCACUGCGACUCUGAAGGGAUUUUAUCAUACUGUUUAUCAUAGAGUUAUUUUAUCACAGUACCUGCUAAGUGUGUAGAAGAAGAGGACCAGGAAGAAGAAGAUAUUGUAGUAACAAAUUUGGACUCAGCCUACAAUGCGUGUCUUGGGACUGGGGGAGGAAAUCGGAUGUACCCAGAUGAAACCCCAGAAGCACGGGGAGAACAUGCAAGCUGCGUAAACCCAGUUUCCUAGUUUCUUAUGUCUUUAUCAAUUUUUUUAGAAACAAUUGUACCGCUCUUUUUAAAUGUCUAACCGAUUUCACAGUGCUUUCUUUCUUUCGCAUUUUAGAUUCGCGUGACUCACACGGAGACACGGUGUCUGGGGUCUUUGUGAUUGACGCGUCAUUAAAAAUGUGCAUGUUCCAGGAGUGGGCUCUGGAUCUGCCGUGACCCUGACCAAGACGAAACGGUUGCUGGAAGACACUACUAUUUCUACUGGCCCGGUAUUAGGAUUGUCGAACCUUCUCCCCAUACUAAAGAGAUUCCCCUCCACAGGAAGGAGCAGGAGAGCAGCGUUCUCAGGGCCCACUGUUCUUAGGAAAGCCAUCACAUGAUGAAGUGUUGAGUGAACUGACAGGUCCAAUGCCUUCUCAGUGCGAUGCAGAGAUUUGGACCAUCACUGACUGUGACAGCACGGCUUAACUCACUAAUCCCAUCUGCGCUGGUGGGGGAAUACACACCCCGCUUUCACUUAAACGUGAUAUAUUCACACAUUUACACUGUGAAUUAAUGAACCCUUUAAUUCCAGCUAAUUUGUGCUUUUUGUUAUAUUCCAAGUCUGAUUGAUAUUCAUGCUGGAAUAAUAAACACAAACCUACGAGUGAAAUAUCAGAUUCCUAUUUUUUUAAAGUCACGUCAUCGUUUCUAUUCAUGGGGACAUGUGUGAUGGACACUCCAUAUUUAAACCCAAUUAUAAACUGGGUGUUGUUAUUAAUGUGUUGUUAGACAACAAAUAAACAUUUGUGUUAUUGUUCAUAUGGUGAAGUUUUCCGUAUGGAGACAUUUAUUUAACAUUGAUGGAAGGAGUCUCCAAUGUCAGCACUUCGUAACAGUCAGAGGUAAAGCUGUAACUUUAAGAUUUACAACAUCUUCAAGACAGAGGAGUUUACGCUUUGUGCUUUCUUGGGUAUAUGACAAGUGUUUUUUUUCCCUUCGAGAGGUAAAAAAGAGAGGCUGCUGAGGGAACGACUGGUUAUAGCUACUAUAGUGUAAGUGAGAACAGGAUCUAACUUGACUUGCAGACUUUCCACAGCAUUAAAUGUAAUUAUAAAUGGAUUAAAAAGUAAGAUUUAUCAUUCUUUAAUGAAUACAUUGUAAUUGUUGUCAAAUUGCUGUGGUGUAUGAAGAAUUAAACAUUUUCAGGUCCUGUUAUAGGAUAAUAAUCAACUUUGCAGAAGAGUUUACAGUUUCUCAUUUACAUGACAAGCUGAGUUUGUAAAAAUUCAAGGUUUUUAGUAUGUUGUAAAGUUUUGUAAUAUGUUGUAAAGUUAUAAGUUUUAGUAUGGUGUAAGUUUUGUAGUGUGUCAUAAAUAUUGAUAGGAUUUUGUAAAGUUGUAACUAUUAGUAGCAGAAUUUCAUGAUCAUUGCGCUGUUAUAAUUCAUUGUUAAAGAAGCACAUUCAAUUUUAAGAUUUAAACAAUUUGAUUUAUUAAAGACAAAACAAACAAACAAACAAAAAAAAAUCACAUCUCUUACUGUCAUACUGCACUAUGCAAAGGUAUUGGUGAUGUUAUGAGCAUUACUUACAAUGCAGCAUGUUAACAAUCUAUAAUGCAUAAGGAAGGUAGCUAUAAAGUAUGAUGCUUUUUUUAAAACCCAGUAUAACAAUGUGCAUAAUGCCUUAUGAAUGCCUUAUAACAUGAUAUGAGUGUACUGUAAGUUCAUAGAAAAUGUUACUGGGAUAUUUUGUUACACACACUUUACAUA